UCUGGUGGUUUGGCGGCGGGGAUACACCCGAUCCCAUUCCGAACUCGGCAGUUAAGCCCGCUAGCGGCGAUGGUACUCACUGUAACAGGUGGGGAGAGUAGCUAGCCGCCAGAA
rnacentral:rRNA from 1 species